rnacentral:ncRNA from 2 species
AUAAAAAAACAAGCGCCAGAACCCUGGCCCUUCAGGGUUGACGAGGAGAGGGAGUAUCGAUGUAUUCGGCGGAUGCCCUCCGGCCCGGUCACGGCCGCAGCGUAGAACAAAUCCGGGAGGCAACUCCCGGGCCAAAGACUACAGGUGACCAA